rnacentral:rRNA from 1 species
GACGAACGCUGGCGGCGUGCCUAAUACAUGCAUGUCGAGCGGAAGUUGGAGAGCUUGCUCUUCAACUUUAGCGGCGGACGGGUGAGUAACACGUGGGCAACCUGCCCUGCAGAUCGGGAUAACUCCGGGAAACCGGUGCUAAUACCGAAUAGUUUUCGCCACCUCCUGGUGGCGUACGGAAAGACGGUUUCGGCUGUCACUGCAGGAUGGGCCCGCGGCGCAUUAGCUAGUUGGUGGGGUAACGGCCCACCAAGGCGACGAUGCGUAGCCGACCUGAGAGGGUGAUCGGCCACACUGGGACUGAGACACGGCCCAGACUCCUACGGGAGGCAGCAGUAGGGAAUCUUCCGCAAUGGACGAAAGUCUGACGGAGCUACGCCGCGUGAGUGACGAAGGUUUUCGGAUCGUAAAACUCUGUUGUGAGGGAAGAACAAGUACCACUUAACUACUGGUACCUUGACGGUACCUCACCAGAAAGCCACGGCUAACUACGUGCCAGCCGCCGCGGUAAGAC